UACGUAGGGGGCAAGCGUUGUCCGGAUUUAUUGGGCGUAAAGAGCGUGUAGGCGGCUUGUCGCGUCUGCUGUGAAAAUCCGAGGCUCAACCUCGGACUUGCAGUGGGUACGGGCAGGCUAGAGUGUGGUAGGGGAGACUGGAAUUCCUGGUGUAGCGGUGAAAUGCGCAGAUAUCAGGAGGAACACCGGUGGCGAAGGCGGGUCUCUGGGACGGUACUGACGCUGAGACGCGAAAGCGUGGGGAGCGAACAGG
rnacentral:rRNA from 1 species